rnacentral:rRNA from 1 species
AAUCCAUAGGUUAAUGAGGCGAACCGGGGGAACUGAAACAUCUAAGUACCCCGAGGAAAAGAAAUCAACCGAGAUUCCCCCAGUAGCGGCGAGCGAACGGGGAGGAGCCCAGAGCCUGAAUCAGUGUGUGUGUUAGUGGAAGCGUCUGGAAAGGCGUGCGAUACAGGGUGACAGCCCCGUACACAAAAAUGCACAUAUUGUGAGCUCGAUGAGUAGGGCGGGACACGUGGUAUCCUGUCUGAAUAUGGGGGGACCAUCCUCCAAGGCUAAAUACUCCUGACUGACCGAUAGUGAACCAGUACCGUGAGGGAAAGGCGAAAAGAACCCCGGCGAGGGGAGUGAAAAAGAACCUGAAACCGUGUACGUACAAGCAGUGGGAGCCUCUUAAUGGGGUGACUGCGUACCUUUUGUAUAAUGGGUCAGCGACUUAUAUUCUGUAGCAAGGUUAACCGAAUAGGGGAGCCGAAGGGAAACCGAGUCUUAACUGGGCGUUAAGUUGCAGGGUAUAGACCCGAAACCCGGUGAUCUAGCCAUGGGCAGGUUGAAGGUUGGGUAACACUAACUGGAGGACCGAACCGACUAAUGUUGAAAAAUUAGCGGAUGACUUGUGGCUGGGGGUGAAAGGCCAAUCAAACCGGGAGAUAGCUGGUUCUCCCCGAAAGCUAUUUAGGUAGCGCCUCGUGAAUUCAUCUCCGGGGGUAGAGCACUGUUUCGGCAAGGGGGUCAUCCCGACUUACCAACCCGAUGCAAACUGCGAAUACCGGAGAAUGUUAUCACGGGAGACACACGGCGGGUGCUAACGUCCGUCGUGAAGAGGGAAACAACCCAGACCGCCAGCUAAGGUCCCAAAGUCAUGGUUAAGUGGGAAACGAUGUGGGAAGGCCCAGACAGCCAGGAUGUUGGCUUAGAAGCAGCCAUCAUUUAAAGAAAGCGUAAUAGCUCACUGGUCGAGUCGGCCUGCGCGGAAGAUGUAACGGGGCUAAACCAUGCACCGAAGCUGCGGCAGCGACACUAUGUGUUGUUGGGUAGGGGAGCGUUCUGUAAGCCUGUGAAGGUGGCCUGUGAGGGUUGCUGGAGGUAUCAGAAGUGCGAAUGCUGACAUAAGUAACGAUAAAGCGGGUGAAAAGCCCGCUCGCCGGAAGACCAAGGGUUCCUGUCCAACGUUAAUCGGGGCAGGGUGAGUCGACCCCUAAGGCGAGGCCGAAAGGCGUAGUCGAUGGGAAACAGGUUAAUAUUCCUGUACUUGGUGUUACUGCGAAGGGGGGACGGAGAAGGCUAUGUUGGCCGGGCGACGGUUGUCCCGGUUUAAGCGUGUAGGCUGGUUUUCCAGGCAAAUCCGGAAAACC